GCAUGGCAACAGGACUCUCCACUGCAAUUCCCAGUGCUUUGACCUCUCCAUACAGUGGCAGGCCCCCUCAUUUCUUGUUACAGUCUUCAUAUGGAGAUCCAGAGGAUCAACAGAGAAAGUCUAAGAUAGAGGCAUGCAGAAGUGUUUCACCUUCCUCAGGGAACUGCACGCAACUUUUUAGUUCUAUGGUAAAGUAACUCAUUAAUCUCAGAACCCGAUAUGGAAGAGUUCACAGUUCCAGUUAUUUCAUCAUAUUUCUGUGAUGACAAAUUUCAAAGAAGGGCUUCAGAAGUACAGCUUCUCAACACAUCAGAUGGCAUAUUUGACCUAGAAGGGAUUUCACAAAUUUUUUGUUCUGUUUUUGCCUUAAGAGAAAUUUAAGAAUAUGUGACCAGAUUGGAUGAUAGGUCCAAACCGUGGCUUAUCAUGGCACAUAGGUUUGUGGGUAUAAUGGGACAUGAUUAAUCUGCGCACUUCAGAUUCAGUUUUGUUCCAGGAUCCUGAUGCUCCGGAGUGGUUCUCCAGUAGUAAAGCAGCCCAGUCCCUCUGAGUGGCAUGUCAUUAAAGAUCAAUGCACAUGUUACACCAUGAUUGCUUAGGAGAGACGGAGUUCUACAGUUUAGAUAAAGUGAUUUUGAGGUGGACUUGGGUAGAGAUCAGACCAGAAUUUACUGAUGCAUUUGCCCCUUCCUUUGGAAUAUUCUUGUUUGGGCUAGAAGAGAAAAGCCUUGCAUCUGCACAGCUAUAGGUCACUGCUGAAAAAGCACCUCCUCCUAUUGUGUGCUUACUUUCCAUAUUCCUGGCUGUCUAGGUUGCUGACUCAAGAGGAAGGAAGGAACUCUCCUGGUAUUGUUAAAACCAUCUGAAUGUACAGCAUCUACCAUGUUGUGGAUACUGCCAGAAACAAACAAAACAUCAUAAUAAAGAUAGUGCUUCAUGUAGGUGAAACUGGGUCUCAGAUCAGUACGUUUUUUACAAGAACUGCUGUGCAAUCAUGUUUUCAAAUGUGCUAGCAGACCUGAAUAAACAUCUGGGAUCCACACAUUGCUUCCCAUGAUAAUACCCAGCUUCUGUGUAAGGUGUUUAAGCCUAAGACUUUACAAAGGAGGUCAGUAUCACUACCCUGGUUUCACAGAUGGAGAAAUCAAAGAAAGGGAGGUGAAAUGACUUGUACAAAAUGUGACAACAGGCUUAGUUCAGAAUAGGAACCAGUCUCUUGACAGCCAUGGGAAUAGCUGAGGUCUCUUUCUUUGUCUGGGAAAGAUGACUCAGAGUCAACGCUGGACAGUCAAGAUCAUGACGUUAUAAAUAAUGGAACGAUUAAAUACAAGCUGCUGCUUCUUGUUGCUGUUGUUUCCCAGUGUGGCAAGUUCCUCUCCUGACCAAAGCUAACUGGGGAAGGAAGGAAACAAGCCAAACCAAAGGAUCUGAUGAACCAGUCUGAAGGGAAGCAUUUACUGGGCCAGUGGAGCACUCUCAGCUGAGCUUUGGCAGUAGGAAUGAAGCUGCUUUCCAGGUGAGGAACUGAGACAUGCAGUGACUUGCCUAAGAUGGCACAGGAAAUCACUGGGGACCCAGUGGGAGAAUAUGACCAGAGAAACAUUGGGCUUGGAGAGCCUUGGUCUUGAGAUAUGACAUGAGGGCAGUUUUCACAGUUUGCAUCACUGGCACAGCCACUACUAAAUGCUCCAGGACACAGAUGUAUACAAAUAGGACAGACGUGAUGGAAGAGGAGCAAAGGACUGGUGACCAAACCGCUGUAUGCAGUUCAUCUAUAGAAGGAAGGAUUCUUGAGAAAGGUUGGGUUAAAAUGAGACUAAGAUUUUUAGAAGAGAUGGCUUGUGCUGCCAUGUUCCUGCUCUGCCUCUAAGAAAUAAAGAAACGUGUGGGGCUGAGUGUCUCACAAAGUGCAAGUCAUAUCUAGGAUGCAAACUCUAGGCAUCUCUCUUAUGCUUAACUUAUGCAUUUUAAAGAGUGAAUUGAGCCCCUUCUCAUCUGGAUGGCCUUGUUGGCCUAGACUUCACAGGGAAUGGGGGAGCAAUAGCAGACAGAGGACAGCUCUCUGAGGAGCCUUUAUUCUAUUGAGAACAGGGCACUGCUAAAGAGGUGCCACAAAGAUGCCAUGUGCCCUAUUUUCUGUAAGCACCAAUUGCACAGUUAGGCAUUAGCUAUACCCAGCAGAGUGUAUGGGAGGCAUGACUGUUUUUAGUGGGAUGUCUUGAGCAAUUCUUAUAUGGGAGAUCUUGAUUUCCAGUUUAUGCUAGCCGUGGUCUGUAGUUUUUGCUCCUCAUCUGCCUCCUCUUCCUCUGUUGACAGUUUUUUGUCUGCUGUGUAUGCUAUACAAGCUGUAGCUUAGGCACUCUAAUGCAAUGCUAGACGUUUAACUAACAAACAAAGAAGGUCUAGUUGGAGCGGUGAAGGUUGGGGGCAGCCUUGGCUGCAGUG